rnacentral:lncRNA from 1 species
UAGCAGCUGAACCGCAAACCCCACCUGACAGCCCUUGGAUUGGAGCAAGCUUCAUCAUGAAGAUCUCAAAGCUGUAUCUGGUGGAGAUGCCGGGCAUUGUGGCACCAGGGCCCACUGUCCCAUGACACUGUGCUGGACAACUGGCUCCUGGGAUAAGACAAGUCAGAGCAGAGAAGGGCGUGAGUCACGUGGAAUAUAAGAUAGGAUUUGAGGAGGCAAGAGACAGUGGCCAUAAAGAAGGAAAACAAGAUGAAUAUGUAUAUUGCAAGCAGUUGACUGAGGAAUGAGACAAGGGCAGAGAGAAGUUCACUGGUCUGAAAACUGGCAAUGGAGUAGCAAGUAUGUAGGGAAGGAGAAGGGGAGGUGAAUCUUUUUUUUUUUUUUUUUUUUUUUUUAAAUUUAUUGCUCUGUCACCAGGCUGGAGUGCAGUCACUUGGUAGGUCAAAAAGGAUAAUUUGGGCCGGGUGCAGUGGCUCUCUCUCUAUCUAUAAAAGGCCUCUGUUUUCUCUCUUUUGGCAUAAAGAAACUCAAUUCCUUUGUUUUUAACUGCUCCCAUUUCUCUGUUCUGUACUGACUUGAUUCCUCCUUCCUGAAUGAUCUUUGAGUCUUC